UAGAAACCAGCCUCCAACUCAUUGUCUUUCUUGAGUAUACCAUGGUUAAGGAAAUCAACCAGCCGAACAGGGGAGAAGCAAACGUCAGUUCAAUUACUAAUACAGUCAACUUUGAAAUCAAUUCUUCCCCAUGAAACUGAAAUCAAUUACUGAUAUCAUCAUUAAGGUUUGAUCGAUGAAACUGAUAUCACACCAAAAGCCACCAAAACCCUACGAUUUCAAUCCCAUAAAUCCGAUCAAUUCUCCUUCUCCAGCACUUGGACCAGCCGAUAUGCCUUUUUGUUUGUUUCAUACGACGGUGUUAAGGGUUUCUAAAUAUGGUUUAGGAUGAUUCGCUGAGUUUGAAGUUUCCUUUGCGUCUCAGCAGGGUGAAAUCUUAAGGUUCGUAUGUUUACACAUCUGUUGGGUAUUUCGAUCGCUAAGGAAGGAUGUUUGAUAGGGAAGAAAGAAAGGAUGUGGAUAUAUCAUUUACCAGUUAAAUGCAGACGUGGAUCGGAAAUGAUUGGUCGUGGCUUGUUCAUGAAGAAGGCUCAGUGAAGGGACGAACAAAUUUGUCGAGCUGGUUUUUUUGUAUAUAUAAAUUUACUACAAGAGUUGCAAA
rnacentral:lncRNA from 1 species